rnacentral:rRNA from 1 species
AUUGAACGCUGGCGGCAGGCCUAACACAUGCAAGUCGAGCGAGCGGCGGACGGGUGAGUAAUGUAUGGGGACUGCCCGAUAGAGGGGGAUAACUACUGGAAACGGUAGCUAAUACCGCAUACUAUCGGAUAACCCAUAUGGGAUUAGCUAGUAGGUGAGGGAAUGGCUCACCUAGGCGACGAUCCCUAGCUGGUCUGAGAGGAUGAUCAGCGACACUGGGACUGAGACACGGCCCAGACUCGUACGGAGGCAUAAGUGGGGAAUAUUGAACAAUGGGCGCAAGCCUGAUGCAGCCAUGCCGCGUGGAUGAAGAAGGCCCUAGGGUUGUAAAGUACUUUCAGUCGGUAGGCGUUCCCGACAGAAGAAGCACCGGCUAACGCCGUGCCAGCAGCCGCGGUAAUUC